rnacentral:rRNA from 1 species
UACAGAGGUGGCAAGCGUUGUUCGGAAUUACUGGGCGUAAAGGGCGCGUAGGCGGCCUUCUAAGUCAGACGUGAAAUCCCCCGGCUUAACCUGGGAACUGCGUCUGAUACUGGGAGGCUUGAGUAUGGGAGAGGGAUGUGGAAUUCCAGGUGUAGCGGUGAAAUGCGUAGAUAUCUGGAGGAACAUCGGUGGCGAAGGCGGCAUCCUGGACCGGUAUUGACGCUGAGGCGCGAAAGCCAGGGGAGCAAACGGG